UGCUUAACACAUGCAAGUCGAACGGAAAGGCCUUUUCGGAGGUACUCGAGUGGCGAACGGGUGAGUAACACGUGGGUGAUCUGCCCUGCACUCUGGGAUAAGCCUGGGAAACUGGGUCUAAUACCGGAUAGGACCGCACUUUAGUGUGUGUGGUGGAAAGUUUUUUCGGUGUAGGAUGAGCCCGCGGCCUAUCAGCUUGUUGGUGGGGUAAUGGCCUACCAAGGCGGCGACGGGUAGCCGGACUGAGAGGUUGGUCGGCCACAUUGGGACUGAGAUACGGCCCAGACUCCUACGGGAGGCAGCAGUGGGGAAUAUUGCACAAUGGGCGCAAGCCUGAUGCAGCGACGCCGCGUGGGGGAUGACGGCCUUCGGGUUGUAAACUCCUUUCGCCAGGGACGAAGCGUUUUGUGACGGUACCUGGAGAAGAAGCACCGGCUAACUACGUGCCAGCAGCCGCGGUAAUACGUAGGGUGCAAGCGUUGUCCGGAAUUACUGGGCGUAAAGAGCUCGUAGGUGGUUUGUCACGUCGUCUGUGAAAUUCCACAGCUUAACUGUGGGCGUGCAGGCGAUACGGGCUGACUUGAGUACUGUAGGGGUAACUGGAAUUCCUGGUGUAGCGGUGAAAUGCGCAGAUAUCAGGAGGAACACCGAUGGCGAAGGCAGGUUACUGGGCAGUUACUGACGCUGAGGAGCGAAAGCAUGGGUAGCAAA
rnacentral:rRNA from 1 species